UUUAUGGAGAGUUUGAUCCUGGCUCAGGAUGAACGCUGGCGGCGUGCCUAAUACAUGCAAGUCGAGCGAACGGACGAGAAGCUUGCUUCUCUGAUGUUAGCGGCGGACGGGUGAGUAACACGUGGAUAACCUACCUAUAAGACUGGGAUAACUUCGGGAAACCGGAGCUAAUACCGGAUAAUAUUUUGAACCGCAUGGUUCAAAAGUGAAAGACGGUCUUGCUGUCACUUAUAGAUGGAUCCGCGCUGCAUUAGCUAGUUGGUAAGGUAACGGCUUACCAAGGCAACGAUGCAUAGCCGACCUGAGAGGGUGAUCGGCCACACUGGAACUGAGACACGGUCCAGACUCCUACGGGAGGCAGCAGUAGGGAAUCUUCCGCAAUGGGCGAAAGCCUGACGGAGCAACGCCGCGUGAGUGAUGAAGGUCUUCGGAUCGUAAAACUCUGUUAUUAGGGAAGAACAUAUGUGUAAGUAACUGUGCACAUCUUGACGGUACCUAAUCAGAAAGCCACGGCUAACUACGUGCCAGCAGCCGCGGUAAUACGUAGGUGGCAAGCGUUAUCCGGAAUUAUUGGGCGUAAAGCGCGCGUAGGCGGUUUUUUAAGUCUGAUGUGAAAGCCCACGGCUCAACCGUGGAGGGUCAUUGGAAACUGGAAAACUUGAGUGCAGAAGAGGAAAGUGGAAUUCCAUGUGUAGCGGUGAAAUGCGCAGAGAUAUGGAGGAACACCAGUGGCGAAGGCGACUUUCUGGUCUGUAACUGACGCUGAUGUGCGAAAGCGUGGGGAUCAAACAGGAUUAGAUACCCUGGUAGUCCACGCCGUAAACGAUGAGU
rnacentral:rRNA from 1 species